GCCUUGUUAGCUCAGUCGGUAGAGCAUCAGACUUUUAAUCUGAGGGUCG
rnacentral:tRNA from 1 species